rnacentral:rRNA from 1 species
GAUGAACGCUGGCGGCGUGCCUAAUACAUGCGAGUCGAGCGAACAGAUGAGGAGCUUGCUCCUCUGACGUUAGCGGCGGACGGGUGAGUAACACGUGGAUAACCUACCUAUAAGACUGGGAUAACUUCGGGAAACCGGAGCUAAUACCGGAUAAUAUAUUGAACCGCAUGGUUCAAUAGUGAAAGACGGUUUUGCUGUCACUUAUAGAUGGAUCCGCGCCGCAUUAGCUAGUUGGUAAGGUAACGGCUUACCAAGGCAACGAUGCGUAGCCGACCUGAGAGGGUGAUCGGCCACACUGGAACUGAGACACGGUCCAGACUCCUACGGGAGGCAGCAGUAGGGAAUCUUCUGCAAUGGGCGAAAGCCUGACGGAGCAACGCCGCGUGAGUGAUGAAGGUCUUCGGAUCGUAAAACUCUGUUAUUAGGGAAGAACAAAUGUGUAAGUAACUAUGCACGUCUUGACGGUACCUAAUCAGAAAGCCACGGCUAACUACGUG